UACGUAGGAGGCAAGCGUUGUCCGGAGUUACUGGGCGUAAAGCGCACGCAGGCGGUCUCUUUAGUCUGUAGGGACAGGGCACAGCUCAACUGUGUCAGGCUUACGGAAACUGGGAGACUUGAGGGCUUCAGAGGGAUGGGGAAUUCCGGGUGGAGUGGUGAAAUGCGUAGAGAUCCGGAAGAACACCAAAGGCGAAGGCACCAUCCUGGGGAGUCACUGACGCUCGGGUGCGAAAGCUAGGGGAGCGAACGGG
rnacentral:rRNA from 1 species